UACAGGGGGGGCAAGCGUUGUUCGGAAUUACUGGGCGUAAAGGGCUCGUAGGCGGCCAACUAAGUCCGACGUGAAAUCCCCAAGCUUAACUUGGGAACUGCGUCGGAUACUGGAUGGCUUGAAUUCGGGAGAGGGAUGCAGAAUUCCAGGUGUAGCGGUGAAAUGCGCAGAUAUCAGGAGGAACACCGGUGGCGAAGGCGGUUCUCUGGGCAUUACCUGACGCUGAGGAGCGAAAGUGUGGGGAGCGAACAGG
rnacentral:rRNA from 1 species